rnacentral:rRNA from 1 species
GAUGAACGCUGGCGGCGUGCCUAAUACAUGCAAGUCGAGCGAACAGACGAGGAGCUUGCUCCUCUGACGUUAGCGGCGGACGGGUGAGUAACACGUGGAUAACCUACCUAUAAGACUGGGAUAACUUCGGGAAACCGGAGCUAAUACCGGAUAAUAUAUUGAACCGCAUGGUUCAAUAGUGAAAGACGGUUUUGCUGUCACUUAUAGAUGGAUCCGCGCCGCAUUAGCUAGUUGGUAAGGUAACGGCUUACCAAGGCAACGAUGCGUAGCCGACCUGAGAGGGUGAUCGGCCCCACUGGAACUGGGACCCGGUCCAGACCCCUGCGGGAGGCAGGAGUGGGGAAUUUCCCGAAAGGGGCGAAAGCCUGACGGAGCAACGCCGGGUGGGUGAUGAAGGUCUUCGGACCGAAAAACUCUUUUAUUGGGGAAAAAAAAAUGUGAAAGUAACUAUGCACGUUUUGACGGUACCUAACCAGAAAGCCCCGGCCAACUACGU